AGCCCAACGCGGGGCUCGAACUCACGAACCGCGAGAUCAUGACCUGAGCCGAAGUCGGACGCUUAACUGACUGAGCCACCCAGGCGCCCCUAAAGGGUGCUUUUGUGAUCUUCCUUGGGAGUGACUCACACCUCCAAGCCUGCCUGUCCCAAGCAAUGAGGGGGCAUCUGCACACUCAUUACACUCCAUUCUGCCUCGGGCCCCUUCUUUGGUCUUAGGGCAUGGGGAUGAAAAUUAAGAUUCCCUGAGACUUUGGGCUGACCCCACACUCAGGCCAAGUCCGUGCGACCCCUCAUUCCAAACGAUCCUCCCAGCCCAGCUCUAGUCAGGUGCAUCCACUGCCUGCCACCUGUGUGGCAUCAGAAUCCCUUGGGAGCUCAGCCCAUUACCAGGGUCAGCUAUUUGAGAAACAUGCAGAUCGGGCCUUAUUUUCCUCAGGAGGCCUUUGUGCACGUGUAAAACCGUAACACACCUACAACGAGCGCUCCUUUCUCUGGCCCGUUAGAGUUUACAAAGUGACUUCAUAUAAAUGAGCUCACUGGCUCCUUGUAGCAAUUCUGUGACACUUUGUGGACGCGGCUCACCAAUACAAUUAUGUGACUUGACCAGGUCAGACAGCCAGUUGGGCCUCCUUGCCCCUCAGCCUCCUUGCCCCAGGCAUACCUACUAACCUAAAUGGGUUAUCAGAUUGGCCAGCUGGAACCUCGGGGCAGCGGGGAGGGGAGAGGCAUGAGGUACUCAGCACCCACUGGGGCCAGUCCUGCAACAGCAAUCACCGAAUACAUGGUGGGGGGGCGGGGGGAGGGGGCGGUGCCCACAGGUCCCCUAUGACUAGAGCUGGCGGGAACAGGCCUCCUGAUGGGUCCCUUUUGUCAAGGGAAGCAAGGCCCUGGGUGGGAGGCCAGGAGCCUAGGCCUUGGUGGAGCCUCUUCAAGCCAGAGAAGAUGAACACUGUGUCAGGUUCCCCCUGGCAGGGUGACCCCAGCCUGGACUGGGUCUUGCUGGGUUUUCCGUGGGUUUACUUCGGGUUCCUCUCCCUGCAAUCUUAGUCAAGGGAAGUCUUGUCUUCGCCGAACCUUAGAUGUGGUGGGUGGAGCCACGGAGAAGUCUGGCAAAAAGCGGGGGCCAGGACCGCUCCCAAGAAGCAAAGGUUGAGGGUGACCACGCCUCCCUGGGAGGAAGGAUACCAACCUGUGGAUCUGCCUCGCCUGGGUUCCUUCACCUCUGGCUCGGCCAGUGAGGAGCACCAGAGAUCAGAGGGCAGGACGAGAGAGAAUUCCAGGCAUCUAUCCCCACCCCUUGCUGCUUCCAGACCACACCUCUGCAUCGGCUUCCUUUCUCCAAGCACCAGACCUCCUCGGGCCCCUAGGCCACUAUUUCCUCUUCCUGCCACUUCCGCCCUAGCCUCUCGGUGUCACUGGCCCUCUGGUUCCCUUAAUCCCGCUCCCACCUCUGUAAAUAAGCCAUACUUUCAUUAAAGGCACUCCGUGUUGA